rnacentral:rRNA from 1 species
GUUGGGGAUAUUGCGCAAUGGGCGAAAGCCUGACGCAGCGACGCCGCGUGAGGGAAGAAGGCCUUCGGGUUGUAAACCUCUGUCGAGUGGGAAGAAGGAGUGACAGUACCACGAGAGGAAGCCCCGGCUAACUACGUGCCAGCAGCCGCGGUAAUACGUAGGGGGCGAGCGUUGUCCGGAAUUACUGGGCGUAAAGGGCGUGUAGGCGGUAUAGCAAGUCAGGUGUGAAAGCCCUCGGCUCAACUGAGGGUAUGCAUCUGAAACUGUUAUACUUGAGUGCAGGAGAGGGAAGCGGAAUUCCUGGUGUAGCGGUGAAAUGCGUAGAUAUCAGGAAGAACACCGGUGGCGAAGGCGGCUUUCUGGCCUGUAACUGACGCUGAGGCGCGAAAGCGUGGGGAGCAAACAGGAUUAGAAACCCCAGUAGUCC